AGAGAGCUGAGAACACAGGGGCCAUCAGCCUCGCUAUCACCUCCACCCCCAAGUGCUUGGCUCCCCAAGGGACAGCUCUAAAAUCCCCAGAAUCUCAGGCUGGUGGGUCCAGCUGAGCAUCCUAGUUUUCACUUUCUCCUCCCAAAAAGGAAAGAACCUUGGUCACUAAAUUCUACGCCUUCUGGAAAUCACUCUGCUAAUGACUUCCUGAAUGAUCGACUGAGACCAACAGCUGGCCCAGCCCUGCAUGGAGGAGUAAGAAACCCUCAUCUGUCAGAGUUAAGGGGCCUGAAUGGGUACAGGUCACAUUCUUGGAGCUCAAGGUGACAGGCCAGAGCCCAGGUCCCCAGGACAGUGCAGCACCUUGUCCAGGCGGGCCUCCCGUUUCUGGCUCCGGGCUGAGCUUCCUGGAGAAGAGGAAGGGAGCCCACAGCUGUGGGAGGGGCUGCUACUGCUGCCGCUGCUGCCGCUGCCGCCGCUGCCGCUGCCGCCGCCAUUGGACAAACCUCACCAGUACCUGCACAGGAGAAACACCACGGAUCACAGCGCGAUCUGAAUGGGUGCGUGCUGGUAAAGCCCGGCCCGUGUACUCCACCUGCCCCAGGAGCUGGAGACAAGACCUUGUGGCUGCGCAGCGGAAACCUUGCCUUGUGACCCCUGGAACUGGCUUUCUUGACUACUCCUUCCCCAGAGCAGCCAAGUUCCACUCCCGCUUUCCCCACACAUUACCAGGAGGUUCAACCUCUCUGGCAGAUCAUCUCUUCCAACCAGGACUUCUUAGAGUCUAAUGAUGUUCAUUCAGGUGUCCCCCCGCUGCUCCCUUGACCUCUUGUAGGAAUCUAGACGCCACGAGCUCUUGGCUACAGCACCCUUAACCCGUAUCCGUGGCAAGGCGUCUGGCCAGGCGCCCACCCUCUGCCCCUGGCCCUCCCGGCAGCCCUCGGCAUGUACCUUUGU
rnacentral:lncRNA from 1 species